rnacentral:rRNA from 1 species
AGCCUUAGGUGUUAUUUAAGGUGAAGCCUGCCCAGUGCCUUUAGUUAACGGCCGCAGUACCCUGACUGUGCUAAGGUAGCAUAAUCAGUUGGCUUUUAAAUGGAGUCGGGAAUGAAUGGAUUUAUGGGGUUAAGCUGUCUCUUUUAUAUUAAUUUAAAUUUACUUAUUAGGUGAAAAUUCCUAAAUAUAGAAAAAAGACGAGAAGACCCUAGGAGUUUUAACUAAAGUCUAUUAGGACUACGUUUUUGUUGGGGCGACAGGAGAGGAAAUAAACCUCUUUUCAUUUACUUGCCGACUUAGUAUGAGAGUUUAAACUACCCUAGGGAUAACAGCGUAAUUCUUUUUGAGUUUGCGACCUCGAUGUUGGACUAGGAAUUUAGUGGGCUAGCCGCCUACCUGAAUUGUUCUGUUCGAACUGUUUUUCCU